rnacentral:tRNA from 1 species
GGCCUCGUAGCUCAGCUGGUAGAGCAUGCGCGUACAAAGCGUAGGCUCUGUUUAUGCGUGGGUUCGAAUCCCACCGAGGCUA